GGUUAAGCGACUAAGCGUACACGGUGGAUGCCCUGGCAGUCAGAGGCGAUGAAGGACGUGCUAAUCUGCGAAAAGCGUCGGUAAGGUGAUAUGAACCGUUAUAACCGGCGAUGUCCGAAUGGGGAAACCCAGUGCAAUUCGUUGCACUAUCGUUAACUGAAUACAUAGGUUAACGAGGCGAACCGGGGGAACUGAAACAUCUAAGUACCCCGAGGAAAAGAAAUCAACCGAGAUUCCCCCAGUAGCGGCGAGCGAACGGGGAGCAGCCCAGAGUCUGAAUCAGCUUGUGUGUUAGUGGAACGGUCUGGAAAGUCCGACGGUACAGGGUGAUAGUCCCGUACACCAAAAUGCACAGGUUGUGAACUCGAAGAGUAGGGCGGGACACGUGGUAUCCUGUCUGAAUAUGGGGGGACCAUCCUCCAAGGCUAAAUACUCCUGACUGACCGAUAGUGAACCAGUACCGUGAGGGAAAGGCGAAAAGAACCCCGGCGAGGGGAGUGAAAAAGAACCUGAAACCGUGUACGUACAAGCAGUGGGAGCACCUUCGGGUGUGACUGCGUACCUUUUGUAUAAUGGGUCAGCGACUUAUAUUCUGUAGCAAGGUUAACCGUAUAGGGGAGCCGCAGGGAAACCGAGUCUUAACUGGGCGUUAAGUUGCAGGGUAUAGACCCGAAACCCGGUGAUCUAGCCAUGGGCAGGUUGAAGGUUGGGUAACACUAACUGGAGGACCGAACCGACUAAUGUUGAAAAAUUAGCGGAUGACUUGUGGCUGGGGGUGAAAGGCCAAUCAAACCGGGAGAUAGCUGGUUCUCCCCGAAAGCUAUUUAGGUAGCGCCUCGUGAACUCAUCUUCGGGGGUAGAGCACUGUUUCGGCUAGGGGGUCAUCCCGACUUACCAACCCGAUGCAAACUACGAAUACCGAAGAAUGUUAUCACGGGAGACACACGGCGGGUGCUAACGUCCGUCGUGAAGAGGGAAACAACCCAGACCGCCAGCUAAGGUCCCAAAGUCAUGGUUAAGUGGGAAACGAUGUGGGAAGGCACAGACAGCCAGGAUGUUGGCUUAGAAGCAGCCAUCAUUUAAAGAAAGCGUAAUAGCUCACUGGUCGAGUCGGCCUGCGCGGAAGAUGUAACGGGGCUAAACCAUGCACCGAAGCUGCGGCAGCGACACUAUGUGUUGUUGGGUAGGGGAGCGUUCUGUAAGCCUGCGAAGGUGUGCUGUGAGGCAUGCUGGAGGUAUCAGAAGUGCGAAUGCUGACAUAAGUAACGAUAAAGCGGGUGAAAAGCCCGCUCGCCGGAAGACCAAGGGUUCCUGUCCAACGUUAAUCGGGGCAGGGUGAGUCGACCCCUAAGGCGAGGCCGAAAGGCGUAGUCGAUGGGAAACAGGUUAAUAUUCCUGUACUUGGUGUUACUGCGAAGGGGGGACGGAGAAGGCUAUGUUAGCCGGGCGACGGUUGUCCCGGUUUAAGCAUGUAGGCUGAUUGUCCAGGCAAAUCCGGAUAAUCAAGGCUGAGGUGUGAUGACGAGGCACUACGGUGCUGAAGUAACAAAUGCCCUGCUUCCAGGAAAAGCCUCUAAGCAUCAGGUAACAUUAAAUCGUACCCCAAACCGACACAGGUGGUCAGGUAGAGAAUACCAAGGCGCUUGAGAGAACUCGGGUGAAGGAACUAGGCAAAAUGGUGCCGUAACUUCGGGAGAAGGCACGCUGGUGUGUAGGUGAAGUCCCUGCGGAUGGAGCUGAGACCAGUCGAAGAUACCAGCUGGCUGCAACUGUUUAUUAAAAACACAGCACUGUGCAAACACGAAAGUGGACGUAUACGGUGUGACGCCUGCCCGGUGCCGGAAGGUUAAUUGAUGGGGUUAUCCGUAAGGAGAAGCUCUUGAUCGAAGCCCCGGUAAACGGCGGCCGUAACUAUAACGGUCCUAAGGUAGCGAAAUUCCUUGUCGGGUAAGUUCCGACCUGCACGAAUGGCGUAAUGAUGGCCAGGCUGUCUCCACCCGAGACUCAGUGAAAUUGAACUCGCUGUGAAGAUGCAGUGUACCCGCGGCAAGACGGAAAGACCCCGUGAACCUUUACUAUAGCUUGACACUGAACAUUGAGCCUUGAUGUGUAGGAUAGGUGGGAGGCUUUGAAGCGUGGACGCCAGUCUGCGUGGAGCCAACCUUGAAAUACCACCCUUUAAUGUUUGAUGUUCUAACGUUGGCCCCUGACCGGGGUUGCGGACAGUGUCUGGUGGGUAGUUUGACUGGGGCGGUCUCCUCCCAAAGCGUAACGGAGGAGCACGAAGGUUAGCUAAUCCUGGUCGGACAUCAGGAGGUUAGUGCAAUGGCAUAAGCUAGCUUGACUGCGAGCGUGACGGCGCGAGCAGGUGCGAAAGCAGGUCAUAGUGAUCCGGUGGUUCUGAAUGGAAGGGCCAUCGCUCAACGGAUAAAAGGUACUCCGGGGAUAACAGGCUGAUACCGCCCAAGAGUUCAUAUCGACGGCGGUGUUUGGCACCUCGAUGUCGGCUCAUCACAUCCUGGGGCUGAAGUAGGUCCCAAGGGUAUGGCUGUUCGCCAUUUAAAGUGGUACGCGAGCUGGGUUUAGAACGUCGUGAGACAGUUCGGUCCCUAUCUGCCGUGGGCGCUGGAGAAUUGAGGGGGGCUGCUCCUAGUACGAGAGGACCGGAGUGGACGCAUCACUGGUGUUCGGGUUGUCAUGCCAAUGGCACUGCCCGGUAGCUAAAUGCGGAAGAGAUAAGUGCUGAAAGCAUCUAAGCACGAAACUUGCCCCGAGAUGAGUUCUCCCUGAGACUUUAAGUCUCCUGAAGGAACGUUAAAGACGAUGACGUUGAUAGGCCGGGUGUGUAAGCGCAGCGAUGCGUUGAGCUAACCGGUACUAAUGAACCGUGAGGCUUAACCUU
rnacentral:rRNA from 1 species